UCUUUGUGCAUUCUUCUGCUGCGUAGACGUACUACUUACUAGUAUCGACCAUAAGUGCCCGUCCAAUGUCAAGAUCUUUAAAUUAUUUACUAAAACUCAGGGAUUAGGUGUUGGAGAAUAUUGUGGAGUUCCUUUGGAGCCAGAGCGUCAUGGUGCACUGAACUUACCUGUUUUCCUACAUUCACAUCCACUUUCUCUUGUGCAUUUUGGAGAAUCCAAAAAACUGCCUCUUUGAAAGACAAAUCCUUAUGCUUUCAUUCCUCGAUGUGAAGUUAUUUGUGCAUUGGGAUUCCAUUUCUUUGGUGAAGACCCACUUCUUAAUCCCUCACAUUCAGUCUCUCACUGACCAAUUUGAAAUGUAUUCCCUGUCAGAUGUAGUUUUGACAUGCUUAUAUGUAUGUAUGUAAAAUAUGGAAGCAUGUUUGAAGGAAAGUAAAUUGUUUGACAAAAUGCCUUGACAUAACAUGGUCUCAUGGAAUUUGACAAUUGUAAGGUAUGCGCAAAACUGAUUUGUUGGAAAGCAUUUGAGAUCUUUUAACAAAUGCAAUUGGUGGCUAUAUAUCCAAACUCAGAAGCUGUUGGCACCAUCUAGUCACCUUGUGCCCAAACAAGAACUUGUGUACAGAGAUCCAUAAAAUAAUAAUUGAGAGUCAAUUUUUCUCAGAAGUUGUAAUUAUGACUGCACAAUUGACAUGUAUGCAAGACAGAAGCAUAGAGAAGGCAUUUAGAAUCUCAACCAUUCGACAAAGUGCUUUCGUGAAAUGCAAUCAAUAAGUAUAAAGCUAAAGUUUGCAGUCUUUGCUAGGAUUUUUCCAUCUUGUGCCAAGAUGGAAGCCUUGGAACAGAGUUGGAGAUCUAUCAAAAUAUAAUCAAAAGUGGAUUUUUGACAUUUUGUCGGAUUAGCUGUAAUUGUGGAAGCACGCAGAAGACCAAUAGCAUGUUUGACCAAAUGCCUCAAGGGAUGCGUUUUAUUACAGGAUAUGGAUUAAAUGGCAUUCUGGUGGAGUCUUCUAGGUUUUCUAUAAAAUGCCUCAAAUAAAUGUUGCUUCAUUGAGUGCAAUGGUUGCUGAAAAUACAAUACAACACCCCAAAAAAUGCAGAGAAUCUAAUGGCUUGCCAAACUAAGUACAAUUUUUUUUUAAGUAAGAUGAAAUGUUGUAGAUAUUUUAGGAAUACUCUAAUAUUUCAGAUUGGUGUAUUAAACAUUUAAAGUUAAAAAAUUGAAAAGUA